UACGUAGGGUGCAAGCGUUGUCCGGAAUUAUUGGGCGUAAAGCGUGCGCAGGCGGUUAUUUAAGUCAGGUGUGAAAGCCCUGGGCUUAACCUAGGAAUUGCGCUUGAGACUGGAUAGCUUGGAGUGCGGCAGAGGGAGGUGGAAUUCCACGUGUAGCAGUGAAAUGCGUAGAGAUGUGGAGGAACACCGAUGGCGAAGGCAGCCUCCUGGGCCAGCACUGACGCUCAUGCACGAAAGCGUGGGGAGCAAACAGG
rnacentral:rRNA from 1 species